rnacentral:rRNA from 1 species
GAUGAACGCUGGCGGCGUGCCUAAUACAUGCAAGUCGAGCGAACGGACGAGAAGCUUGCUUCUCUGAUGUUAGCGGCGGACGGGUGAGUAACACGUGGAUAACCUACCUAUAAGACUGGGAUCACUUCGGGAAACCGGAUCUAAUACCGGAUAAUAUUUUGAACCGCAUGGUUCAAAAGUGAAAUACGGUCGUGCUGUCACUUAUAGAUGGAUCCGCGCUGCAUUAGCUAGUUGGUAAUGUAACGGCUUACCAAGGCAACGAUGCAUAGCCGACCUGAGAGGGUGAUCGGCCACCCUGGAACUGAGACAGGGUCAAGACUCCUACGGGAGGCAGCAGUAGGGAAUCGGACGCAAUGGGCGAAAGCCUGACGGAGCAACGCCGAGUCAGUGAUGAAGGUCUUCUGAUCGUAAAACUCUGUUAUUAGGGAAGAACAUAUGUGUAAGUAACUGUGGACAUCUUGACGGUAACUAAUCAGAAAGCCACGGCUAACUACGUG